AAUACUAAAUGGCCGGCAGUCUAGUGACUAUUGUUAAAGUUGAAUAAAAAAUAAGAUAAACCUAUCCCUAACCCCAAACCCUUUUCUAACCACUAACCCUAACCUUUUGAGAGAAAAAAUUUUAAGAAAAAACAAUGCUAAGUCAGACAAAACACAUACCGACCCCGACUGCGUUUAACUUUCCGCACGCAGCGCCCUUGCCGUAUGAGCUAACGGCAAGCUCGGUAAAAGUUAACGCAAACAAAAGUUUUUAUAUUCAACUGUAGUCACUAGACUGCCGGCCAUUUAGUAUUUGAUAAACCGUGACCGGCUGCCGGUCAUAUAGUCACUCUGUUACAAUUUCACACUCAAAACGUCCAGAUUUCAUUGUUCCGAUCUAAUGCAACGUAACCAAACGUUCAAAUAUUAAACGCAAAGAAAUGUGUUAAAGUUAUCAAGUUUU
rnacentral:lncRNA from 1 species